rnacentral:sRNA from 1 species
CCCUAGCCCCGAUAGAAGUGAAAAUCCUUUUAUUUUGUUCCUUUAACAAAAUAAAAGAUUGUAACGAAUAGCGGGAAUAGCU